rnacentral:rRNA from 1 species
ACCUACGGGGCGCAGCAGUGGGGAAUAUUGCACAAUGGGGGAAACCCUGAUGCAGCGACGCCGCGUGAGUGAAGAAGUAUCUCGGUACGUAAAGCUCUAUCAGCAGGGAAGAAAAAAAGUCUUUGGCUUUGGACGGUACCUGACUAAGAAGCCCCGGCUAACUACGUGCCAGCAGCCGCGGUAAUACGUAGGGGGCAAGCGUUAUCCGGAUUUACUGGGUGUAAAGGGAGCGUAGACGGCAGCGCAAGUCUGGAGCGAAAUGCCGGGGCUCAACCCCGGAACUGCUUUGGAAACUGUGCAGCUAG